GAGUUUGAUCUUGGCUCAGAUUGAACGCUGGCGGCAGGCCUAACACAUGCAAGUCGAGCGGAUGACGGGAGCUUGCUCCUUGAUUCGGCGGCGGACGGGUGAGUAAUGCCUAGGAAUCUGCCUGGUAGUGGGGGACAACGUUUCGAAAGGAACGCUAAUACCGCAUACGUCCUACGGGAGAAAGCAGGGGACCUUCGGGCCUUGCGCUAUCGGAUGAGCCUAGGUCGGAUUAGCUAGUUGGUGGGGUAAUGGCUCACCAAGGCGACGAUCCGUAACUGGUCUGAGAGGAUGAUCAGUCACACUGGAACUGAGACACGGUCCAGACUCCUACGGGAGGCAGCAGUGGGGAAUAUUGGACAAUGGCGAAAGCCUGAUCCAGCCAUGCCGCGUGUGUGAAGAAGGUCUUCGGAUUGUAAAGCACUUUAAGUUGGGAGGAAGGGCAGUAAGUUAAUAACCUUGCUGUUUUGACGUUACCGACAGAAUAAGCACCGGCUAACUCUGUGCCAGCCGCCGCGGUAAG
rnacentral:rRNA from 1 species